UUUCUUUCAUAAAAUAAAACAUAUUUUUAUCCAAAAUAACACUAACACAAAUUUAAGCCAAAUAACACACCAUGACAUAUUCCCCCCUACUCUUAUAUGUUUGUCCCCAAACAUGAUAUAUACUUCAAUAUUAACAACUUAAAAAUAUCUUAUAUACACUCUAUACAAAUUAUAUCUAACCUGGCGCCAGAAAAAAAAAUGUAUGUACAAUAAUUGUCAGCUAGCUAGCUUCUCCAACCUUUAUAUUUUUGUGUAAAUCUCAAAAAAAAAAAACAAGACACUUUAACCAAAAUCAAAAGAUGUAGUAAUAAGAAAUAGUAUGCGUGCACUCACACUAAGUCCUAGAACUACCUACCCCGAAAAAAAAAUGUUUUAGAAAAACUAAAUAGAUUUACAUGCUACUAAAAUACUAUUUUCAAGUCUCAAACACUGUCCUAACGAGUCACAAAUUGUUUAAAACAAAUCACCAUGGAUUUAUCUCACUUUGGAACUCUCUAGUUAACUCUUUUAAGAAAGUGUCAAUGCAUCCAUUCGGCACUUCAUCAAAAGUCUGCCAUUCUGGAGGCAUAUUUGGGUUCAUCCAACUUAACAAAAAUUCCAUUUUUCCACUAUUGUCAACUCUUGCUUCAUGUAAUUCAUACCCCUGACCACAGCUACUAAAGUCUUGUUUCAAUGUUCCCUGGUGUUUUUCCUUAAGAUAGCUCAAUUUCUCUUGCAGCAAUCUCUCCUCAAAUAUUGUUGUAAAGUAUUUGAUAAAAUUGUGUGCAUGGUUACGAACAGAUGUAAUGGAAUGCCACCUCUGAAUAAUUCCGGUUUGAAUAAGAAAAUAAGCCCUUUGAUUUAUAAAACGCACUGCCAGUAAUUUUUCAGGUUGUGAAUAAUCCAAAGAAGGGUUGUUAUUGGUUGAUAGCACAUUUACAGAUUCCUUUUGCGAAUUGGCUCUAGUUUUCUUGUUUUC
rnacentral:lncRNA from 1 species